AAAGGGGCUUCGGCUCCGAGUAAGUGGCGCACGGGUGAGUAACACGUGGGUAACCUGCCUCUAAGAUUGGGAUAACUCGUCGAAAGAUGAGCUAAUACCGGAUAAGACCACAGUUCCCGCGGGAACAGGGGUCAAAGGUAGCCUCUGCUUGCAAGCUAUCACUUAGAGAUGGGCCUGCGCACCAUUAGCUAGUUGGUAGGGUAACGGCCUACCAAGGCAAAGAUGGUUAGCUGGUCUGAGAGGAUGAUCAGCCACACUGGAACUGAGACACGGUCCAGACUCCUACGGGAGGCAGCAGUGGGGAAUAUUGCGCAAUGGGCGAAAGCCUGACGCAGCAACGCCGCGUGAGUGAUGAAGGCCUUCGGG
rnacentral:rRNA from 1 species